CGUUGUCCGGAUUAUUGGGCGUAAAGCGCGCGCAGGCGGAUMGUCAGUCUGUCUUAAAAGUUCGGGGCUUAACCCCGUGAUGGGAUGGAAACUGCUGAUCUAGAGUAUCGGAGAGGAAAGUGGAAUUCCUAGUGUAGCGGUGAAAUGCGUAGAUAUUAGGAAGAACACCAGUGGCGAAGGCGACUUUCUGGACGAAAACUGACGCUGAGGCGCGAAAGCCAGGGGAGCGAACGGGAUUAGAUACCCCGGUAGUCCUGGCCGUAAACGAUGGGUACUAGGUGUAGGAGGUAUCGACCCCUUCUGUGCCGGAGUUAACGCAAUAAGUACCCCGCCUGGGGAGUACGACCGCAAGGUUGAAACUCAAAGGAAUUGACGGGGGCCCGCACAAGCGGUGGAGUAUGUGGUUUAAUUCGACGCAACGCGAAGAACCUUACCAGGUCUUGACAUUGAUGGACAGAACUAGAGAUAGUUCCUCUUCUUCGGAAGCCAGAAAACAGGUGGUGCACGGUUGUCGUCAGCUCGUGUCGUG
rnacentral:rRNA from 1 species